UAGCAAUCGGUCCGUGAAGGGCACUUUCUUAAAUAUCUUAGAAAGUCAUAUCUGCUUUGAAGAACCAUUCUCAAGUGGCCACGAGCAGCCUGUGUGACUUGUCCUGAUGGUACACUACGAAAUCUAGACAGGAGAAUACAUGUUAACUUUCAACGAAAGUUAAGCUUCGACAGUUCAAGAAGAUUUGGCAGUUCAAGAAAUGAUGAUUCAUUUCUGUGUAAUAAAACAAUAGGCAGGAGCAUUAGAACCGCCUUGCCACUAUGCCGCUUUUGUCGUGUACACCCAACGAAGAAAUCAAACUCCUCGUCUUAUCACCCACUAUGCCAACAACGGAGCGGCACCAUCAGCCGUCUAACCACACAGCACAGGUGACAAAUACAACGCGAUGCCGAACACUACUGGCAACAUUUCGCAAAUUUAUAAACAAACCAUAAACAUCGUGGAACACAGAACAGGCAGGUAGCGAAAUCCACUUCAGAUCAGAGAAAAACCCCUAUUGACUACUGCGCUCCCGCAAAGCGCCCUUCAAGAGGCGCGGUGCGUGCCGUUCGACGUCGUCAUUUGAAAACGGAUUGAUUACUCUGGGUUUUGACUCGGAUUCUGGCAGUAACUAGUUUAGGACGUAAGCCAAACACUUCAGGACGAGGAAUUACGCUGGCAGCUAUCGAAAACAGGAAGCGUGAUGGGUUGAUUCACCAGAGUAAGCAUUAGGCACUAAAGCGGUGGCACUAUAUUGGCAUUACAUCUGCCCAUGGAAUAAUGCAGUUAGUCAUAGUUUUACACUGUCUAACAGAUGCAAAUAAAGUGCAAAUGAACAUAAUGCUAUUGAAAACGA